AACAGAACUAGCCAAUAAAACAAACAUUUUAUUUAUUAGAUUCAUAUAUGUUAAUUAAAGUGUGUGGUUUUACCCUAAACAGGGGGAGAAAGGAAUGCUGGGGCCGGCAGGGGAGAUGGGGCAUCAAGGCCAAACUGGCCCCAGGGGUUAUAAGGGAUCAGCAGCAAAGCCAGGAAGACCCGGAUUUAUUGGACCCCCAGGACCUGUCGGGCAUGUGGGAGUAGCUGGACGGCCAGGCCCCAAGG